rnacentral:rRNA from 1 species
CACUCCUGCGGGAGGCAGCAGUGGGGAAUUUUGGACAAUGGGGGCAACCCUGAUCCAGCAAUGCCGCGUGAGUGAAGAAGGCCUUCGGGUUGUAAAGCUCUUUUGUCAGGGAAGAAACGGUGGUGGCGAAUAACUACUACUAAUGACGGUACCUGAAGAAUAAGCACCGGCUAACUACGUGCCAGCAGCCGCGGUAAUACGUAGGGUGCAAGCGUUAAUCGGAAUUACUGGGCGUAAAGCGUGCGCAGGCGGUUGUGUAAGUCAGAUGUGAAAUCCCCGGGCUCAACCUGGGAAUUGCAUUUGAGACUGCACGGCUAGAGUGUGUCAGAGGGGGGUAGAAUUCCACGUGUAGCAGUGAAAUGCGUAGAUAUGUGGAGGAAUACCGAUGGCGAAGGCAGCCCCCUGGGAUAACACUGACGCUCAUGCACGAAAGCGUGGGGAGCAAACAGGAUUAGAAACCCGAGUAGUCCCAUGAU